rnacentral:rRNA from 1 species
UACGUAGGGUGCGAGCGUUGUCCGGAAUUAUUGGGCGUAAAGAGCUUGUAGGCGGUCUGUCGCGUCUGCUGUGAAAACCCGGGGCUCAACCCCGGACUUGCAGUGGGUACGGGCAGGCUAGAGUGUGGUAGGGGAGACUGGAAUUCCUGGUGUAGCGGUGAAAUGCGCAGAUAUCAGGAGGAACACCGAUGGCGAAGGCAGGUCUCUGGGCCAGUACUGACGCUGAGAAGCGAAAGCAUGGGGAGCGAACAGG